rnacentral:rRNA from 1 species
UGGGUUAAGUCCCGCAACGAGCGCAACCCUUAUCCUUUGUUGCCAGCGGUUAGGCCGGGAACUCAAAGGAGACUGCCAGUGAUAAACUGGAGGAAGGUGGGGAUGACGUCAAGUCAUCAUGGCCCUUACGACCAGGGCUACACACGUGCUACAAUGGCGCAUACAAAGAGAAGCGACCUCGCGAGAGCAAGCGGACCUCAUAAAGUGCGUCGUAGUCCGGAUUGGAGUCUGCAACUCGACUCCAUGAAGUCGGAAUCGCUAGUAAUCGUGGAUCAGAAUGCCACGGUGAAUACGUUCCCGGGCCUUGUACACACCGCCCGUCACACCAUGGGAGUGGGUUGCAAAAGAAGUAGGUAGCUUAACCUUCGGGAGGGCGCUUACCACUUUGUGAUUCAUGACUGGGGUGAAGUCGUAACAAGGUAACCGUAGGGGAACCUGC